GCUUUGAAUUAAAAUUCAGUGGUAGAACAUUUGUCUUUAAUUCAGAAAGUCCCAGGUUCAAUUCUUGGCGUUUCAAAGUA